GGGAACAUAGGCUUCUGACCUUGGUGUUUUUCCACCAUACCUGCCUUUGGUAUAUAAGGCUCCACUCUUGUAAAAAUAAACACCAUUCCCCUUGUAAGAAUAGCGGCUGUCUUUGUCUUUAAAUUCAUCCUUAGCCCUUAGCCUCGGAUUAUUGUGAAGUAUGGUAGCACUGUAGCUGCAAACACACCGGCGGCAUGCUACAGAUGGAGGUCCCACUGAGAUCGGAAAAGAAGAAGAACUGAAUGCUGGCCAGCAAGUAAGAAGCCUGAGUCAGCCCAUGUGAGACCCGUGGAUACUGCAGACGCCCAAGUGCUGAUCUGGGACUGGGACCUUGGAGCCACCACCAGCUUCAGGCAGGCAGCCUCCCAGCUGAGGCAUCAUCCAGCAAGGAAAACUGAUUACUACAUCAUGCCAGGAGACACACGUGGUCCUCUCUAAUGAUGCUAUAGUAGACCGUGGCUUCAAAGCAUGUCAGCCUGACUUCUCCAGGGUGACAUUUCUGGUUUGGUAUUUGCCCUCCAGUGUUGACAUAGCAGUAUUGACUCUCAACAUCGAAGGACUCAGAAUUACAUGGACACAGUCUCUGGGCAUGUCAGGGGGGAUUAUUUAGAUUAGGCUGAUUGAGGCUGAAAAGUGGGUGAUACCACUCUGCCAUUCUGUGGGCUGGGGCCUGAACUGAAAACACAGAAGGAAAGGAGCAGAGCGCCAGCAUCCAUGGCUCUGCUUCCCAGCUGCAGAGGCACCGUGACCAGCUGUCCCCUGUUCCUGUUGCCAUGACAUCCUGCCUUGGAGAACUGUGUGCCCUGGAACUGCAAGUCAGAAUAAGCUUAGUCAGGUCAUUUUCCACAGUCGAGACAGAAGCCCUCUGACUGGUACCUGAUAGAAGGACCACGUGACCUUAAUUAUCAGAAGUUUGUGGCUUGCCUCAGGCUUUCAAACUCCUCUAGUGACUACCAUCUGGUAUCUGAGGGCGUGACUACCCUGAGACUGCCACAUUGUGAGGAAGCCCACACCAGCCAUUCAGAGCUGUCACAGCUCGAGAGAGGGGGCUGGGGAGAUAGAUAGUGGGAAAAGCGUUUGUCAUACAAGCACAGGAACCUGAGUUCAAAGUCCCAGAACCCGUGUCAAAAGUCCGACAUUGUAGCUAGCAGCCGCGUCUGUAAUCCCAGGGCUCCUCUGGGACAUCGGAGGCAGAGAUGAUAGAAUCCCUAGAAGCAGUGAACAAGAGAGCCUGUCUCAAACAGUGUGGGAGUGAGAACUGGCACCUGGGUGUGUGUCACCGUUCCCUUGUGCUCACAUACAUAUUCUAUAAAAAACAUUUAAAACGUGGAGAGAUGGGGGUGGGGCUCCCCAGUCUCUACGGUCAUCUUGGUGGAGGUUAAGGCCUGAGGAGGAUAAGACCAACAAGACAGCCGCUGACGAACUUGACCUGCAUAGGAGGCUCUGGGUGGGAUCUGCUCAGCUGAGGCCAGUGGGCUCUAAUGGCGCCAAGAAUACAAACGUGUUUAGUCCACACAAAUAGGAGUGGCUUGAUAUUAACCAGAUAUUCAUCAGAGUUUCCUCUGAUGUUGCAACCAUUGCUGGCACAAUUGUUUUCUCAGAUUUCUUCUUUCAAAAAAGGCUUUCCUGUGUUUGCUUGA